GUAGGUGAACCUGCGGAAGGAUCAUUAUUGAAGCUCGGAAUGCAUGUUCGGUGCUGAUGCUGCCCAGCAAUGGGACGUGCUCGCUCGGAUGUGUGUCCCUUCUCUAUUCCACCCCUUUGUGAACCAAGUGUGCGAGCCGAUGAGAGAUCGGAGGCUCGCAUGCAAACCCUUAACAUACCCCAAUGAAGUAUCAGAAUGUAACUUGCGUUAACUCGCACAAAUACAACUUUCAACAACGGAUCUCUUGGCU
rnacentral:misc_RNA from 1 species